rnacentral:rRNA from 1 species
AACGAACGCUGGCGGCAUGCCUAACACAUGCAAGUCGAACGAAGCCUUCGGGCUUAGUGGCGCACGGGUGCGUAACGCGUGGGAAUCUGCCCCUUGCUUCGGAAUAACAGUUAGAAAUGACUGCUAAUACCGGAUGAUGUCUUCGGACCACAGAUUUAUCGGCAAGGGAUGAGCCCGCGUAGGAUUAGGUAGUUGGUGGGGUAAAGGCCUACCAAUCCGACGAUCCUUAGCUGGUCUGAGAGGAUGAUCAGCCACACUGGGACUGAGACACGGCCCAGACUCCUACGGGAGGCAGCAGUGGGGAAUAUUGGACAAUGGGGGGAACCCUGAUCCAGCAAUGCCGCGUGAGUGAUGAAGGCCUUAGGGUUGUAAAGCUCUUUUACCAGGGAUGAUAAUGACAGUACCUGGAGAAUAAGCUCCGGCUAACUCCGUGCCAGCCGCCGCGGUAACAC